UUUUCUCUCCUUUCAUAUAAAGGCACAAUACCAGCACAUAGCAGUGAGCACUUCAGGAAUGUCAGUAUUUCUGUAGAGUCUUGAUCAAAUAAAUAAAGGCUGCAGCCACCACUCAGGAACAUGCAAGAGCAUGAAGACUCAAGUUUGACUGGAAAUGUCUCCCUCAGCUCAUUCUGUGCUGGGGAUCAGUUCCAGUUGAUAUAAGCCUGGAUGAAGAGAGGGAGGAAAUAACUUAAUUGCUUUAGACUUCAGUUCAGCUGGAGUGGAGAGGAAAGAAUCAGCGUCCCUUCUUUGGAAUUCAGCAAGAAGGUCGUGUUGUUGGUGAGGACAGCUCUUCUGCAGGUUUUGUGGAGGGGCGAUGCCCGCCGGGGGCCAGGCGCUGCUGGCGCUGCUGGGGCUGCCGGCGCUGCUGGCCCUGGGCUGCGCCGCCGACAGCGACUUCGCCGAGGGCGGCCCGGAGCGGCGGCGGCCCGGGCCCGGCCCCGCCUGCCCCCGCGACUGCGGCUGCACCCAGGAGGGCGUCGUGGACUGCGGCGGCAUCGACCUCAAGGAGUUCCCGCUGCUGCUGCCCGAGCUGACCAACCACCUCUCCCUGCAGAAUAACCAAAUAGAAGAAAUCUUUCCAGAAGAGCUUGCUCGUCUUUAUAGACUGGAAACUCUCAAUUUGCAAAACAACAGGCUGACUUCAAAAGGGUUGCCAGAGGAAGCAUUUGAGCAUCUGGAGAACCUGAAUUACCUGUACCUGGCAAACAAUAAGCUAACAGUGGCUCCAAAAUUCCUACCAAAUACCUUGAUCAGUGCAGAUUUUGCAGCCAAUUAUCUCACUAAGAUAUAUGGGCUCACAUUUGGACAGAAACCAAACUUGAGAUCUGUGUAUCUUCAUAACAACAAACUUUCAGAUGCUGGGUUACCUGAUAAUAUGUUCAAUGGCUCUAAUAAUGUGGAGAUACUCAUCAUGUCCAGCAAUUUCUUGAAGUAUGUUCCAAAGAAUCUCCCUCCAGCACUAUAUAAAUUACACUUACAGAGCAACAAGCUGGAGAAGAUUCCCAAAGGAGCCUUCAGCGAGCUUGCCGGGCUGCGGGAGCUGUAUCUGCAGAACAACUACUUGUCUAAUGAGGGAAUGGACAAUGAAACUUUCUGGAAAUUGUCUAGUCUUGAAUAUCUGGAUUUGUCCAGCAAUAACCUCUCCCAAAUCCCAAGUGGUUUACCUCGAAACAUCGUCCUCCUCCACCUGGAGAAGAAUGCAAUUAAGGUGAUUGACAGAGAUGUCUUGACCCAAAUUAAGAACCUGGAGUACCUUCUGCUCCACAAUAACAAAUUAAAAGCCCGAGGUAUUCACCCCUCAGCCUUCCAUGGCCUAAAGAAGCUGCACACUGUGCACCUGUACAACAACAUGCUGGAAAGGAUCCCCAGCGGGCUGCCCCGGCGGGUGAAGACACUGAUGAUCCUUCAUAACCAGAUCUCAGAGAUCAACAGGAAUGACUUUGCUACCACUUACUUCCUUGAAGAGCUGAACCUGAGCUACAACAAGCUCACAAGCCCCCAGAUCCAUCGGGAGGCCUUCCGUAAACUGCGGCAACUGAAGUCCCUGGAUCUUUCUGGAAACAAUCUCCACACAGUGCCUUUUGGCUUCCCAAAGAACUUGCAGGUUCUGAAGCUGAAGGAGAAUGAGAUAAGCAUCAUCCCAAAAGGGACUUUGUCUGGGAUGACAAAACUGAGGGAACUGUAUUUGAGCAACAAUAAACUGAAAGUAAAUUCAAUUUAUUCAAGAGCGUGGAGAGAACUCAUCAGUCUUCAGGUAGAAACACCACCUUCUCUAAUUGUUUUAGUGAUGCUGAUAUCCUCAUCUGUCUGCCUAAAUCAAAUUAUGUAGCACCAAUACUAAAUGUGCUUGGUCCUCGUGUUUUGGGGUUGCAUUGUAAGUGCUACACACCGUGUUUCUAGAGUAGAAAUGAUGUGCUAUUGUGCCAGAGGUGGGUACCUUCCACUGCUGGCCAGUCCAGCUUUGUGUCUGAAUCCUGACAGUGUCCUAUAUUUUCAGAAAAACAUCAGUGAAUGUUGUCAUUAAAACUGAAAUUAGGCCUUUCAAAGAGCUUGUCUCCCAAAAGAUUUAAAAUCAGCUCUGAGUAGAGACAGCAGGAGGAAGGAAUGCAUAAACAAAAACACUCUUAAUUCUCAAAGCCCCCACAUCAGCUUAUAGUCAGACAAGCCAAGCUGUAGGAUUUAGCAGCUCAGCUGGCUAAGGCACCUGAGGAGCAGCUCAGAGUCUGGAUUCAAUCAGCAGUCUUCUCAUUUGCUUAAUUGUUGGAGAAAGUUAAACACAAACCAUAAGGCAGGCAGGAACAAUCACAUUUGUGCCGAGCAAAAUGACCUUUCAGAAUUGUUACGCCGGCUGAAGGAUUUGUCUGCAUUUCCUUUUAGGCAACGGCCCUUUCCUGCAGUGAAAGGUAUUGCCUGUGUCACACAGCAGCCACGGAGGGGGCAUAUGGUCAGGUCACUGCACAGCAGAAUGUGCACAUCUCAGAGCAGAUCAGGGAUAAGGACGUGCAGCAUAUGUCACACUGGCCCCCAGUGUGUUUUCAGACAAUCCUGACGUUAAUCUAUAGGAACGUUUCCCUUUCUGUUGUGUCUGGGAAUAACCAAUAGCUUGUUCCUCAGUUAAUGUCAAUGAGCAGUGCAGCAGCAGUGUCUGCAGAGCUGUUUGCAUCAGCUGCAGAUUUGGUCCCUGGCUUUAAUAAUACCUUUUGCAUUUGUUUGGUGCCACACUGAUACAUGUGUGAGCAAAUAUAUUUAACAUGCAAAGCAGCCUGGAAGGAAGAUGCCAUUGAAAAUUACAGAUGGCUGGGAUUGCUUUUCUGCAGCACCUUAAUAAAAUGUAGGUUGUUUUAUUUUCAAACAAAAAUGGGUCAUGAUCCCUGCUGGGUAGCUGGAGUUGCUGGUUGGAAUGAUGAGCUUUCCUUCUCAAAGGUCCAGAUUCACAAUUAUGUGGAACUUUUGUUCUACUCUCUCUCCCUGCAGUCAAUGAAAAGCCAGAGGUGUUGCUGACAGCCAUUGGCCAUCCCCACAGCAAACCCCACUCCCACUAAACAGGGUUCAGAUAAUAGCACUGACUUAAAGUUCUGCUGGACUAAUGGGGCAUUUAUGGCUGUUGCUUUUCUUUGGAACAGCAUUAAUUCUUGUUGGUUCUUUCCAGCUGAAUCUUUUUUAUCAUUAAGUGCUUAACUGUGCAGUUGGUUUCUGAGUUGUUGCCCUGGAGUGAAUUUGGCAAAUAACCAUCCAUAAAGGUCCUGAUCAUGCAUAUACUUAGUAAAUACUUGAGUCCACACUGUUUCCAUGGAAAUCGCUGGAGACUCUGCAACUGCAAAGCAAGACAUUUACAUAAUGGACUUGGCAGUACUGGGUUAACAGUUGGAGUCAAUGAUCUUAAAGCUUUUUUCCAACCUAAACAAUUCAAUGGUUCUAUGAUAAUUGUUUUCCAGACUGGCAUUAUGUGAGGAAUAAAAACACUGGAAUGAGGACAAUUGUUUGCAGAAGUGUGGCUUUGACUAGUGGGUAAAUAGUAUCAGGUUGGUGCUAUGAAAAUACUACAAUACAGGACAACAAAACACUUCUAUUGAUCCAUUCUCUUGCAAAAAAUUAAUCUGAAAAACAACCAUGACCUUUAGUCCUGCUGUCUUCAUACAUCCUCCAUGUUAGAAUAUUUCCAGAUGGUUUUAUGUGUAACUUCACCUAUCACCAUCCUCAGCCAGCAAAGUGUUUGCAGUAGCAGAUGCCAAGGAAUUCUCCUGCAUAUCUGAAACCCAGACUGUUUUUAAUUUACUUAAACAGACAUGGGCUAAUGCCUGGGGACAGAGAUAAAGAAAUGUUGGAACUCUGAAACAAACCAGCAUGACAUAUCAUGUGGAAUCAGGAUGCUCAGUAGGAGUGUAAGAGACUAGAAUUGUCUUGGCCACACUUGCCUUGCUGCAAAUUUGAGGUAGAUUAAAUGAUUUUAUUCUAUAAUAAAUAUAACUUCAAAAUUAAAUCUCUUUCUGGUGUGUUUCUAAUAUUUAAAUUCAGUUAUUUGACCCCUUGUUGUCUCUUCCUUGCAGUCACUAGACAUGGCUGGCAACCAGCUGACAUCUAUCCCAUUAGGCCUGCCAGAAUCUCUGGAAUAUCUGUAUCUCCAGAACAACAAGAUCACAACGGUUUCAGAGAAUGCUUUUGAAUCCACACCCAAAAUAAAGGGGAUUUACCUCAGGUUUAAUAAGAUUGCAGUUGGAGCACUGAAAGAAAGUACCUUCCAAAACCUGAAGCACUUACAGGUGCUGGAUAUUGAAGGGAACCUUGAAUUCAGCAACAGUUCAAAGAAUAAGGAUGACUCAGAAGAGGAGAUGGAAGAUGAGGAAGAGGAAGAGGAAGAAGAACUGAGAUAAAAUGUGAAGUCAUGCAAUCCCAUCACAUGGGAGGAAAACAUAUGGAAAAAUACAUAUAUGUCUAUGUGUAUACAUCUAUAUAGAUAUCCAGAGAACACUUAGCAAAACGUGCAAUGAAUUAUGCAGAAACUGUUGUGGCACUGGGCCAGGCUCAUGGAAGACAGUGUGUUUCAGUGCCUUAUUCAGGGAGAGACCCUGAAUGCCUUUCCAAAGCUUCCAAAUCAUCUUAUACAAGACCCAGGAUCAUAAGGGAUUGCUCUGGAACUCACAAAAGCUGGCUUUUGUUUCUUCUGUUUCUCUUCCCUCACUGUUUCCAUCUGUAAUAACAAUAUGGGACUGUUUUGAACGCAGGCCUUCAAAUGCCAUUUUUGUCACUGCAUUUUAAGUGAACCAUGUUUAUGCCCCCUUUCUUUUCUUCCACCCAAAAGAUGCUGCUCUUGGCCAGGGCAGAUGAAUAUCUGCAGUAGUUUCAAGUGCAGAGCAGUGUAUGAGGCAUUUUGGUCAUCAAGCAGCAGUAAUAAUUCUGGAUGCAAUUAUUUCUCUGUUAUAACAAUGUGUAUAUUUGGAUGAGAAAAACAAAAUAAGGCUGGAUCCCGUAAUAUUUUAUCUCUACUGCUAAAACCUGCAGUAUAUUCCUGUUUUAGAAAGGUUUUAAGAUAAAACAAUGCUCUUGUGAAUAUAUAUAUAAAUACAUAUAUAAAAUGUCUGCCUUCCAGAGCUUUGGUAAAGUUUCUGUCUUGCUGUUGUUUGCCCAUGGGGCAGUUGGGUGAAUGUCUCUGAAGGUGUGAUCAGAGGAUGGAGUGACAGGAUGGAAUUUAAUGGAUGUGGUAGAAUUUUCCACAGUGUAUCUCAUUCACACCCAGAGGCAGGAGUGGGACUAAUGGUGUAGAAGAGGUUAGUGAGUGUGGGCUGUCUUAGGAGAAAACCAUUAAGUAUCUAAAGAAGUUUGUUUAGUUCAAGUCUGGAGACAGUGCUUGCUGUCAUACUCCCUUAAAGCUUCUCCUAUUUUAUGAUGUUGAGUGCUCUCAGCUCCUGUUGGAAUCAGAAAAUAAAGAAACCAAGGAAAAGAAGACCUACAGAGGUACAAGUUUCUCAGUUGCUUAUAAUGUCCUUCAUCUGAGGCAGCUAAUCUGCUUGACAAAAUGGUCUUUUCUUUUGAGGAUUUCUGAUUGAACACAUGUUGUUUUGCAUAAUGCAUUCCAGGAUUGACUUGGAAACACAGUUGGCUUAAUUUUUUACCAGCUGUUUUCCUGCUGGGGAUCUAGUUCCACACUCUCCCUUUGUUUCCCAUAGCUCAUGACAGUAAUUUCAAGCUGUUGUUCCCUACCUAAGACAAUUCAACACACUCAUUAAUCAUAGAAGGAAAGACUGCUUCCUGAAAAAGUAAAAGCUUGGCCCCAGAAAUUGCAAAACCCACACAUUUUUUAAUAUCAGCUAUAGAGCUGAGCAAUAAAAUAUCCUUCCAACUGA